rnacentral:rRNA from 2 species
UAGCAGUGAGGAAUAUUGGUCAAUAGCCUAACGGCUGAACCAGCAACUUGGAAGAACGAAUAGUUAUUGCUAUUGCACCUACAAACCGUGGGUGCAAAAUUGACUAUGUCAAAUAAAGUUCUAAGCAGAAUUAUGAUAAUGACAUUUUCUGCUUAUGUGUCUUGACCAAAUUACGUGCCAGCAGUCGCGGUAAUACGUAAAAGACUAGUGUUAUUCAUCUUUAAUAGGUUUAAAGGGUACCUAGACGGUAAAUAAAGCUUUUAAAAUUGGGACUAAUUUACUAGAGUUACUUGUGAGGGGGUUUUAAAGUACUAAUGGUGUAGAGAUGAAAUUCUGUAAUACCUCUUUUCGAAAGAAAAAUCAUGGCACAGGUAUAGGCGAAGGCAUCCCCUUAUGUGAUAACUGACGUUGA